rnacentral:pre_miRNA from 12 species
UGCUGAAGGUGUGUGUCAGAGGCUGGGUCUUUGCGGGCAAGGUGAGUCCUCACUUCAUUCAACUGGCCUACAAAGUCCCAGUUUCUGGCUCAUAAGCCCACC